rnacentral:rRNA from 1 species
AACAAACGCUGGCGGCGUGCCUAACACAUGCAAGUCGUACGAGAAAGGGUCCUUCGGGGCCUGAGUAAAGUGGCGCACGGGUGAGUAACGCGUGGAUAAUCUGCCCUUCAGUUGGGAAUAACUCAUCGAAAGGUGGGCUAAUACCGAAUAAUGCUGUGAGACCUCGGUUGAUCAGCCAAAGAGAGCCUCUGCUUGCAAGCCCUCGCUGAAGGAUGAGUCCGCGUACCAUUAGCUAGUUGGUAGGGUAAUGGCCUACCAAGGCGACGAUGGUUAGCGAGUCUGAGAGGAUGAUCAGCCACACUGAAACUGAGACACGGUCCAGACUCCUACGGGAGGCAGCAGUGAGGAAUCUUGCGCAAUGGGGGCAACCCUGACGCAGCAACGCCGCGUGAGUGAGGAAGGUCUUCGGAUCGUAAAGCUCUGUCGGAUGGAAAGAACCGCAUAGGGGUAAACAGCCCCUGUGUCUGACGGUACCAUCAAAGGAAGCACCGGCUAACUCCGUGCCAGCCGCCGCCGUAACAC